CUGAGUGUAGCUGCAGUGAACUCAAGGGAUGGCUGGUAGUGGUGAGGAUCCCAUCCCUACAGAUACAGGCCCUGAGACUCCUAUUAUUUAAACAGAGAUUUAGCCAAACCCCAGAAUCUAGAGUGCUGCAGGCCUUACAAACCUCAUUCAUAAGAUCCUAGGAGCAAAAUUGUGGCUGAGGGGGGAGGUUUACUCUGUGUUUUCUGAGAUGUGUAAAGUUUGGCUCCCUCUAGCACCUUGCCUAAUUUUUUUUUCUCUCUCCCUAUGAGACUGCUGUUCCUUUAGGCCAUGCAUUUCCUUCUCUCGUGCUUUCUUCUGUCCUACUAGCACUCAGUGGGUUGGCCAGCUUGUUGAGAGGCUUGACUUUGGCAGCGCUGCAAACCCAGUCCUCCCAGGUGCAGAGAAAGGCCCUGUUUUAUCGUGGUGGCUCCAGGACCAACCUCAGUGACACCUGUGUGGAGCACUGUGAUCGGCUGGGUGCUAAGUAGGAGUCUGGCUCCCAGGGGCGUUUUUCAAAGCGCACAGGAGGCUCUGGCUUGUGAUGCAGGCGUUUGGGGAAGGUUCCCCCCAUCCCGCCCCGUCAGCCGCUGGGGAAGCGCUUUUGGCUUUCUGAAGGAUGCCAAGCAGAGUUAAGAAGAGAGUAUAUGGGAAUACAACUAUGAUCAUUUGAGAGAGACCAGAUUAGUGAAGUGCCUGCUUGUCGUCUGUCCAGGAGGAACCACGUGCGUCGUUAUCUCCCCGUGUUGCUGCUAGACGCAGAUGCGGGCAGACAAACGCCAGCGAGAGGACGCCCUCGUUUGCGGAGAAGUUGCCCAAGGUUCCCGUGCAGCUGAGUUGCCAUCCAGCUCUGUUUGGCAUGUGAGCUGAGCAAGGGACGGGUGAGAUCCCAGCGGUUUUGGGGGAUGGGGGCCUGCUGCUU
rnacentral:lncRNA from 1 species